UGACGGACGGGUGAGUAAUGUCUGGGAAACUGCCCGAUGGAGGGGGAUAACUACUGGAAACGGUAGCUAAUACCGCAUAACGUCGCAAGACCAAAGAGGGGGACCUUCGGGCCUCUUGCCAUCGGAUGUGCCCAGAUGGGAUUAGCUAGUAGGUGGGGUAACGGCUCACCUAGGCGACGAUCCCUAGCUGGUCUGAGAGGAUGACCAGCCACACUGGAACUGAGACACGGUCCAG
rnacentral:rRNA from 1 species